rnacentral:rRNA from 1 species
AACGCGAAGAACCUUACCUGGGCUCGAAAUGUAGAGGACGAUACCAGAGAUGGUAUUUCCCGAAAGGGUCUUUACAUAGGUGCUGCAUGGCUGUCGUCAGCUCGUGCCGUGAGGUGUUUGGUUAAGUCCAGCAACGAGCGCAACCCUUAUCGUUAGUUGCCAACGCGUGAAGGCGGGAACUCUAACGAGACUGCCUGGGUUAACCAGGAGGAAGGUGAGGAUGACGUCAAGUCCGCAUGGCCUUUAUGUCCAGGGCUACACACGUGCUACAAUGGUCGGUACAAUAGGCAGCGAAACCGCAAGGCGGAGCAAAUCCUAUAAAACCGAUCUCAGUUCAGAUUGUAGACUGCAACUCGUCUACAUGAAGUUGGAAUUGCUAGUAAUGGCGUGUCAGCAACAACGCCGUGAAUACGUUCCCGGGCCUUGUACACACCGGACACGC